rnacentral:sRNA from 2 species
CAGAAAGCUUUCUAGGGUUCCGUAGCAUUUGCUAGCCUGGUCCGAGAGAAGGCGCACACAAUAUAUGUGUGUUACACGGAAGGAUAAAAGCCUGGGAGAA